UCAAAUAAAAUUCUCUCUCUCUCUCUCUCUCUCUCUCACUCUCCUGCAGACUCUGCAGUAGUCUCUGCACUAUAUCUAUGUCUCCAGUUCCUCCCUCAUUUCUGUUCUUCCACAUUCUCCUGAGCCUAACUCAGAGAAUCCAAUCUCACACCCUUAAACCCUUCCAAAGCUCCAAUCUUUUUUUUGUCAACUCAUGGACCUCUACUUAAACCCAAAACCCACCUCGCCGGCGGCGACAUUCUCCCGCUGAGUCCCCCAAAACCCACCACCAUGAUAGACCAACCUCACCAACCCAAUACCAAACCCACUUGUUUCACUCCGUUGUAACAAAGACCCAUCAUUUUCUUCACUCAAAUUCCCACUCUUUUUUUUUCUUCCUCGUCUCCAAUGGCCUCCACGAACUCAAACCCAUCCGACCCACCUCUCUCGCCCGACGACCUCGCCGCCCGGGCUCUGAACAAACGCUACGAGGGUCUGGUCACCGUCCGAACCAAGGCCAUAAAGGGCAAAGGAGCUUGGUACUGGACUCAUUUGGAGCCGGUGAUGGUUCGCAACCCAAACACCAACGUCCCCAAAGCUGUGAAGCUCAAGUGUCUUCUCUGCGACGCCGUUUUCUCGGCCUCGAACCCCUCCAGAACCGCCUCCGAGCACCUCAAGCGCGGCACGUGCCCGAAUUUCACCUCCGUGUUGAGACCCAACUCGUCGGCGUCGCUGUCGCCGCAGCCCAUAUCGUCUCUGCCGUCGCCGUCUUCCCACAAUCACAGAAAACGAAGCUCACAAAUGGGUACUCUUCUCUCUCCUCUUUCUCAAGCUCCUCCCACCUCUGCUUCGAUUCAAGUACAUUCCUUGGCUAUGAUUGAGUCGUCCCCCGGCUUUUGCGGCGGAGAGCUUGGUUAUUCGCAGGGUCCGAACCCGAACCCGGGCCCGGGCCCGAAUCCUGUCGGGUUGAGUCAGCACCAGCACCACCAUUUGGUGUUGUCGGGUGGGAAAGACGAUUUGGGUGCUUUGGCAAUGUUGGAAAACAGUGUCAAAAAGCUUAAAAGCCCCAAGCCUUCUUCCGCUAAUGUUUCACUUACUAAGGAGCAGGUUGAUUCUGCACUUGACUUGUUGUCUGAGUGGUUCUAUGAGUCUUGUGGGUCUGUCUCGUUUUCGAGCCUCGAGCAUCCCAAGUUCAAGGCCUUUCUCGGCCAGGUGGGCUUGCCUGCUGUGUUGCAGCGUGAGCUUUCGGGUGCUCGGCUUGAUGCUAAGUUUGCUGAGGCUAAAGCCGAGUCUGAGGCUAGGAUAAGGGAUGCAAUGUUUUUUCAAGUGGCUUCAGAUGGUUGGGAAUGUAAUAAUUUUUGCGGUGGGGAGGAGAGUAUGGUUAAGUUUAUGGUUAAUCUCCCGAAUGGGAGCAGUGUUUUUCAGAAGGCUGUGUUUACUGGAGGGUCAGUUUCGUCGAAAUAUGCUGAGGAGGUAAUGUGGGAUGCGGUUAGUGGCGUGUGUGGGAAUGCUGUGCAGCGUUGCGUGGGGGUUGUUGCUGACAAGUAUAAAGCCAAGGCAUUGAGGAACUUGGAGAGUCAGAAUCAUUGGAUGGUGAAUGUUUCCUGUCAGCUACAGGGGUUUGUUUCUUUGAUCAAGGAUUUUAACAAAGAGCAUAAGUUGUGUAUGGUUGUUACUGAUAAUUGCGUGAAGGUUGCAAAUUUUGUAAAUACCACCACCGAGGUUAGGCGGAUUUUUCAGAAGUACAAGAUGCAGGAGCUUGGCUAUGGUGGGCUGCUCCAAGUUUCUUCUUCCAAAUGCGAUAAUUCAAAAAACUAUGCGCCUGUUUAUGCAAUGCUGGAGGAUAUGUUGACCUGUUCCCGCAUACUCCAAAUGGUUGUCUUGGAUGAUUGCUAUAAGGUGGCAUGUGUGGAGGAUCCAAGUGCUAGGGAAGUUGCAGCGCUGAUUCAAAGUGAAGGAUUCUGGAAUGAACUAGAGGCAGUUUAUUCACUUAUGAAGCUGAUAAGAGGGAUGGCUCAGGAGAUUGAAGCUGAGAGGCCAUUAAUUGGGCAAUGCCUGCCUCUUUGGGAAGAGUUGCGAACAAAAGUAAAGGAUUGGUGUGCCAAGUUUAACAUUGAUGAAGGACCUGUUGAGAAAAUAGUUGAAAAACGCUUCGCAAAGAAUUACCACCCAGCAUGGUCGGCUGCAUUCAUACUUGAUCCACAAUACCUGAUGAAGGAUGCUAGUGGAAAGUACCUUCCACCAUUCAAGUGCUUGACGCAUGAGCAGGAGAAGGAUGUAGAUAAGCUCAUUACCAGAUUGGUAUCCAGGGAAGAAGCGCAUGUUGCACUAAUGGAACUCAUGAAAUGGAGGACAGAAGGAAUGGACCCACUUUAUGCUCAGGCAGUUCAAGUUAAACAGCAAGAUCCUGUUACUGGAAAAAUGAAAAUUGCAAACCCGCAGAGCAGUAGACUUGUGUGGGAAACUUGUCUAAGCAAGUUAAACAUACUGGGGAAGGUUGCAGUGAGACUUAUCUUCCUCCAUGCAACCUCAUUUGGAUUCAAGUGUAAUUGGUCUUUCAUGAAAUGGAUUUGUGUACAUAGGCACUCAAGGAUAGGCCUGGAAAGGGCAGAGAAGAUGAUAUUCAUUGCAGCUCAUGCGAAGCUUGAAAGAAGGGAUCUUUCUAACGACGAAGAAAGGGAAGCAGAGCUGUUUGCGACUGCGAGUGUUGAUGAGGACAUGCUGAAUGAGGUCCUUUCCGAUGCACCCACAGUACUAGGGUUGCUUGAAUCGGUUGGGUGGAUGGCAAACCAGGCUUGAGAGUGAUCACAUGGGUCAACCUCGUAAGAAUUUGAGAGCGAAUCUUUGUAGCCAAAGACCCUCAGUGAUUAAUCUAGGCAUAUAUGUUGGCAUAUCAGUUUAUGUAAUUGAAGAACCCCACCAUGAGAAGUGGGUGUCCAUCUCAGUGCUUUACUUGUCAUGGUCAACGAAAAAGUUGAGGUAUAAGGGCCCUUAUUUCCCAUCACUCUCCUCUCUAUCUCUCUCACUGUAUGUCUCUUUCUGUGUUUUUGUUUUUCUUUCUACGUGCAUUUAGUGAUAUGUUUUGAAUUUUUAACUUAGCUCAUUUCCAUCAUCUCUGAUAAAUUGUCAUUUAAACAUUCAAAAUCUUGUACUUUUAAUCUCCAACUGGGCCAUGUUACAGAUUACAUAUCUAACAUUGAAGAUUUAAGUUUUGCGCGGUUAUCAGUUAGGCCAGCCAUGAUUGCUAAAAAGUCUUGAGCACAAUGGAAGCAAAGAUGGUUGUCUCCAUGAGGAGGUGCAUAAGAUAACAGAAAGGGAUUUUGCAACGAACUUGAACUGAAUUUUCAAGCUAAUUUCUGCAAUUAAUGUUGACUUAAUAAGAGGCUGGGAUCUGACAAUGGCUGUGAGUGUAUAUUUCAUUCCUGAUUUAAAUGAUGAGAAAGAGCCUGGUUAUAGUAAUAACUUUAUGUUGACAGAACAUUUAAGUGCGUGCAACUGUGCAUGUUCCACCUUGUUUUGCAGAACUCUGUAUAUUGGAUUCAGGCAAGUCUUGACACUAGCAGGUGCUACAUUCGAGUUUCAUUACUCAUGUUUCCAAAUCAUGAGAAGGAAUAAUUGUAUACGUAUUCUGAUACAGCAAAGAGUUGAGACAUAGGAGAUAAGGACGUAUACCAAAAAGGCAUUGUGAGGUCCCUGGUUGGACAUAAUUUUAACACCUUAAAACAGGGAACUAGUACUCCAGGUUGUGGAGGACCAUUGCAGUUUAUGAUGCUGCACCAAACUGUACCUCGAUCAUUUUCUCUUGCUGUAGAAACCCAAUAAGGAAGUUUGGCUAAGUAUCAAACUGUGAAAAUUACUAACAGGGCAUUGAAUGAAAUAAGUUUUCACUUUCUUUCUGAGUGUAAUUAUUUGAGUACGUUAAUUUCUGUGUUCUUUACCCUCGAUUUUCUUUUGCUGCUAAAUAUUGGUGGAAAAAUAGCGGAUCCUGUCGG